rnacentral:misc_RNA from 1 species
UGGAAGUAAAAGUCGUAACAAGGUUUCCGUAGGUGAACCUGCGGAAGGAUCAUUACCGAGUGUAGGGUUCCCUCGUGGAGCCCAACCUCCCACCCGUGUAUACUGUACCUUCGUUGCUUCGGCGGGCCCGCCGUCAUGGCCGCCGGGGGGCUUCUGCCCCCGGGCCCGCGCCCGCCGGAGACACAUGAACUCUGUCUGAUCUAGUGAAGUCUGAGUUGAUUGUCACACAAUCAGUUAAAACUUUCAACAAUGGAUCUCUUGGUUCCGGCAUCGAUGAAGAACGCAGCGAAAUGCGAUAACUAAUGUGAAUUGCAGAAUUCCGUGAAUCAUCGAGUCUUUGAACGCACAUUGCGCCCCCUGGUAUUCCGGGGGGCAUGCCUGUCCGAGCGUCAUUGCUGCCCAUCAAGCACGGCUUGUGUGUUGGGUCCUCGUCCCCCCCGGGGGACGUGCCCGAAAGGCAGCGGCGGCACCGCGUCCGGUCCUCGAGCGUAUGGGGCUUUGUCACCCGCUCUGCAGGCCCGGCCGGCGCUGGCCGACGCGAAAGCAACCAUUUUUUCUCCAGGUUGACCUCGGAUCAGGUAGGGAUACCCGCUGAACUUAAGCAUAUCAAUAAGCGGAGGAA